AUCUAGCUGAAGAAUCCCAAAUAAAACGAAAAUGCACUUUGUCCUGGAU
rfam:Schistosoma curassoni strain Dakar, Senegal genome assembly, scaffold: SCTD_contig0005976